UUAUCUUUUUAUAUAUUUAUUUAUUCUACUUUAUCUUACCUUAGUUAGACUUUGAAUGAAUGUGGGUGACAUCACGUGUAUGGGAAGGUCUUAAUUGGAGAUUUCAAAUUGACACAUGUAGAAAUCUUUUUGUUUAGAUUUGUUUCAGAUUCUUUUUCCUCAACUUUAUCCAAUUAAGCACACGUCUCCCACUACGUAACAACUCUUGAGGGUAGGUUAUUAUUGACUACGUAUAUAGAUACAUGUAUAAUGAAGGGGACACACACAAAAAUUAUAUGCAAGCACAAAAAACACAGCAGAGGUAGAAAAGAAAAAAAAGAACGAGAUUUUAUUGUUUUGUCCUCCAAAAAUUAAAUCAAGGUAGGAUUACGAGGUGCAAGUGGUUCGUCCCAUUUAAAUUAUUUCUUCAUGUUGAUAAAUGUUAUACUUAUGAAAGUUAUGAUGUGAUAUAAUAUGAUUAUGAUAUGUAUGUUAUGGACAUCCGGUACCAAAGAUAUGAUAUGAUAUGAGCUCUUACCGGUUCUAAAGAUAUGAUAUGACGGUAUGAUUAUUUUGACGCGUGAUUUAAUACUUUUAAUUGGGAUUGCACAAUUACUCGUACCCUACUGAGUAUAACCAUGUACUCACCCUUUUCCCUACUCCUCACAAGUUAGAUCGGGUUGUUCGUUGGCUAGCGGUGUGGUGCAGUCGUAGUGCCAAGAUAUUUGGGAUAAUAAAUCAAAUCCAGCGUAACGUGACCAAAGAUUUUAUUUUUAGCUUUUGUUUUAAUUUUAUUAUUAUGUGGAUCUGUUAUUCAAGAUUUGGGAUACAAUUUUUUUAUAUGUUUUUAUGGUUUAUUUUCAUUAUUUUAUAUUGGUGGAACCAAAACUUUAUUCACAAUCAAUUAUUCAGAAUAACACAUAAUAGAGUAUGGUUGAUCUUAUCACAUGAAUUGAGAAUUUUGGGUGUACUGUACAUCAAGUUGUUUCUUUUCAAGAUGGGUAAUUGAUUGAGGCCAUGCAUGUGUAAUUAAUGAGAUCCAAAUUGGUGGUAUUAAUUGGGUGAAAGUGAUGUCACGUUUUCUAUUCACUGCAUAAG
rnacentral:lncRNA from 1 species